GCAGAGGCCUCAAGCGUUAGGCGGAAUCACUGGGCUUAAAGCGUGUGUAGGCGGAUCGUUAAGUACCUUGUGAAAUCCCACGGCUCAACCGUGGAACUGCUGGGUAUACUGGCGAUCUUGAGCCACCUAGGGGCGAGCGGAACAAGCGGUGGAGCGGUGAAAUGCGUAGAUAUCGCUUGGAACGCCAACGGUGAAAACAGCUCGCUGGGGGUGUGCUGACGCUGAGACACGAAAGCCAGGGGAGCGAACGGGA
rnacentral:rRNA from 1 species